CGGACGGGUGAGUAACGCGUGAGAAUUCGCCUUUAGGACGGGGGAUAACAGGGGGAAACGCCUGCUAAAACCCCAUAUGCCUUCGGGUCAAACAGAGUAAUCUGCCUAAAGAGAAGCUCGCGGCUGAUUAGCUAGUUGGUGGGGUAAAGGCCUACCAAGGCGACGAUCAGUAGCUGGUCUAGGAGGACGAUCAGCCACACAGGAACUGAGACACGGUCCAGACUCCUACGGGAGGCAGCAGUGAGGAAUUUUCUGCAAUGGGCGAAAGCCUGACAGAGCAAUACCGCGUGAGGUAAGAAGGCUUACUGAGUUUUAAACCUCUGUUACCUAAGGAGGAAGAUCUGACGUUACUUAGGAGACGAAGCAUCGGCUAACUCCGUGCCAGCAGCCGCGGUAAGACGGAGGAUGCAAGUGUUAUCCGGAAUCACUGGGGGUAAAGCGUCUGCAGGUGGUUUAUUAAGUCCACUGUUAAACCUUGAGGCUCAACCUCAAUUCAGCAUUGGAAACUGGGAAACUUGAGUAUAGUAGGGGUAGAGGGAAUUUCCAGUGGAGCGGUGAAAUGCGUAGAUAUUGGAAAGAACACCGAUGGCGAAGGCACUCUACUGGGCUAUUACUGACACUCAGAGACGAAAGCUAGGGGAGCAAAUGGGAUUAGAUACCCCUGUAGUC
rnacentral:rRNA from 1 species